GCCAGGUGUGGUGGCGCAUGCCUGUAGUCCCAGCUACUCUGGAAGCUGAGAUGGGAGGGCUGCUUGAGCCUGGGAGGUUGAGGCUGCAGUGAGCCAUGAUCAUGCCACUGCACUCUAGCCUGGGCGACAAAGCGAGACCCUAUCUCAA
ensembl:misc_RNA Metazoa_SRP Metazoan signal recognition particle RNA